UUUUUCUCUCCGCUCUCUGUUCUUCGUCCGGAGCCGAGGAGCCUUAGGGCGGCGGUUACUCCGGUGACUGAGCGGCCUCUAGGGAUUUGGGAGACAGGCGGUGGAGUGGCACCGAGCAGUUUGAGGACUCCGGGUACCGGAAUCGAGCAUGCACAUAGUGUCGGUGCAGUUUGAGGACUCCGGGUACCGGAAUCGAGCAUGCACAUAGUGCGUUUGGGAUGAUGACUCCCGCCAGAGAGAAUACGCCGCCGGUCGGAGGUCUUAGCCGGAGAAGGGGACAGAGAUCGAACAGUGUGUUGCCUUCUUGGUACCCUAGAACUCCUCUGCGAAGCGGGGGUGUUAACUGUUCACGUGAACAGUAACCUGCACCUGACGGUUUUAUCCCUCAGCUCUUUCAUUUAUUUCAGACACGUGUAAACAAAACCUCAUCUCACCACCGCUCCACAGUCAGAUUCCAUCGAGAAGACUGAGACCAAGAUCGAAAGAGAGAAGAGAACUGAACAGCGAAAGAACCCCCAACUGCGGUGUGAGCCAGAACCCUAAGCUUCCACACCAAACCCCUAUCCUCGAUCCGUUUCUCAAACCCGACCGGAAUCAUAACCGGAGCUCCAGCUUCUUGACGACUGCCCAACACCCAAAUAAAACACAGCCCGGAAUUCUCUAUCCCACGUACGCGCCAAAUCAUGUAUGGAGUCUCGACUCAGUGUCACCUCCGUCCCCAGUAAUUGCAGCUGUUCUUGCUUUUAUCGAAAUCCAAACUGAGGUUCUUCAAAUCUUUGAUUCAAGCAGGUUAAUUAGUGAUCAGAGAUAUCCUAAUUAUGGUGUAUAAUGUGAUAGGUUUUUCGAUCAAAAGUCCGGAGAGACGGAGGAGAUAGCAGAGGAAGAAGGAGAGGAACUGGACUGUCAGUCCGGGUAGUCUGUCUAAUAAGUGCUGCAUCUAAUUCAAAUCUUUAAAUUGUGGAACAUGUGUGCGGAGAAGAAAUUGGUAGAUGCAGAGGAUUAACUUUGCAGUAUAACUAUACAACACAUUAUAUUAUUGCCGCCCAGCAUCCGGGAGCAAACAUUAGAACAUGUGCUUAAAUGCAUCCACCUUUGUUAUACUCUUUUACUUUGUACAUAAAUGUGUUGUGUACAUGCUUAAAUUCUCAAAAUUUAUCGUCUUUUAAGAUUAUACAUAUGAAUAACGAAAAUAAAGAUCCCGCAGCAAAGUGCAAAAAAGGCUAAUGAUGAAGAAAGAGUUAGCUGCUAGAAGUUGUGUCACUGUUGAUAUUGCAGAAACUUAGUGAACACGUUAUUGUUUGGGGUGGUGGAAGGAAGAUAUGUGAAGAGAAGUGGUAGGCUAUACAGAAGAGAAGUGAUUGCCUCUGUUUAGAUUUAGAGACAGUGUUUUGGAGAUUCCAUCUUCGUUUUAGAUUUUUGGUUUUAUAUAUUAUUUUUUAUUGUUGAGCAUUUAAGUCAGAUUAUCAACUUAUUUGCAUUGUCUGCUCAAUUUUAUUGUGCAGAUAGAGAGGAAGAAAUUUUGAUGGCGGACUGAAAAGAAAAAAAAGGAUAGAUCUCGGAUAGGGGUCGACUUUCAGUUUGUUUUGGAAUGGGUGAUUCAGAAGAGUGGAAGAGAGAGGCUUUCCAAAACUAUAGUGGAAGAGAGAGAGGCAUCGAAGAAGAAAAAAACACUGAAUCGGAGAGAGGUAGUGGAAACUGAAAAGAGUGUUCCUCUUCAGGCGUCGGAGUAUCCGCAAGUACAUGAGCUUUGUCUCUCAGGUUAUGUUGUUGCUUUGCGACCUGGGCUGCAAGUUCUCACUUUUUCCUAUUGGUAGGGUGCUGCAAUUUGAUGGGUUUAGUUGCGGUUGGCCAUUUUCAAUAUUUUGCUUCUCAAUCUGAAUAUUGAUAUCUGAGUUUUUAUGCAGUUGGUAUACUCUGCUUGAAAAUAUAUUGCUUUUCAAUAUAUUGAUAUCUGAGUAUUCUAUUGAUAUCUGAAUAUCAAUAAUCUGAAUAUUGAUAUCUGAAUAUUAAUAAUCUGGAUGUAUUAGCACGCGACGGUACAUAUUAGUCCAUCGCGGAUUGUAUAACAAACUUUUACAUCUCAUGGCUAAACUUUUUUCCUUUUUUUCCUCGAAGCUGUUUGACGAAAGUCCUGGACCAUGUCCAUAUAUGCUCUCAUUUUUGGGUUUGCCUAUACUGGACAGGACAAUAGAGAAACCAUUUCAGCUUUGGGAUAUAGCCACGCACGCGCGUAGCGCAGGCUUCAAAGUUAGUAAUUAGAUUAAAUGAAUCAAUUGAUCAAAAUAUAUUUAAACAAAACUGUUCGUGUAAAUCACAAUUACGGAAGCCCAAAUGAUCUUCAAAUUAGAUGAAACUUUGCAUGAAUGAUUUACACACUAUGUUCUAUACACUGAACGGCGGAAAUGUGAAAAUGUGAUAUAAAAGUGACCAAAUCAUCCUUGCAAAUUUUCAGCUAAUUUGGUUUUUGUUAAGGUAUUAAAAAUGUUUUAAAUCAAU